UACGGAGGAUCCAAGCGUUAUCCGGAAUCAUUGGGUUUAAAGGGUCCGUAGGCGGUUUAUUAAGUCAGUGGUGAAAUCCCGCAGCUCAACUGUGGAAUGGCCAUUGAUACUGAUAGACUUGAAUUAUUGGGAAGUAACUAGAAUAUGUAGUGUAGCGGUGAAAUGCUUAGAUAUUACAUGGAAUACCAAUUGCGAAGGCAGGUUACUACCAAUAUAUUGACGCUGAUGGACGAAAGCGUGGGGAGCGAACAGG
rnacentral:rRNA from 1 species